GCAUAUCAAUAAGCGGAGGAAAAGAAAAUAACAAUGAUUUCCCUAGUAACGGCGAGUGAAGAGGAAAGAGCUCAAAGUUGGAACCUGUUUGGCCUAGCUAAACCGGAUUGUAGACUGUAGAAGUGUUUUCCAGGCAAGCCGAGUAAAUAAGUCCUUUGGAACAGGGCAUCAUAGAGGGUGAGAAUCCCGUCUUUGGCUUGAGCAUUUGCCUUUUGUGAUACGCUUUCAAAGAGUCAGGUUGUUUGGGAAUGCAGCCUAAAUUGGGUGGUAAAUCUCACCUAAAGCUAAAUAUUGGCGAGAAACCGAUAGCGAACAAGUACCGUGAGGGAAAGAUGAAAAGAACUUUGAAAAGAGAGUUAAACAGUAUGUGAAAUUGUUAAAAGGGAACCGUUUGGAGCCAGACUGGCUUGUCUGUAAUCAAUCUAGGCUUCGGCCUGGAUGCACUUGCAGGCUAUGCCUGCCAACGACAAUUUGACUUGAGGGAAAAAACUAAGGGAAAUGUGGCCCACUUGUGGGUGUUAUAGUCCCUUAGAAAAUACCUUGGGUUGGAUUGAGGAACGCAGCGAAUGCUUUUUGGCGAGUUUUCCAGGAAGGUUUUCUGAGGUACUACGGUAUCAAGGUUGAUCUUUUUGGUUAUACUUCUAUUCGCUUAGGUUGUUGGCUUAAUGACUCUAAAUGACCCGUCUUGAAACACGGACCAAGGAGUCCACCAUUAGUGCGAGUAUUUGGGUGCCAAACCCAUAUGCGUAAGGAAACUGAUUGAUACGAAUCCAUUAAGGAGGCAGUAUCGUCCGGCGCUGACGUUUUAUACUGAAUUGACCGAGACAAAGCACUAAUGAUGGGACCCGAAAGAUGGUGAACUAUGCCUGAAUAGGGUGAAGCCAGAGGAAACUCUGGUGGAGGCUCGUAGCGAUUCUGACGUGCAAAUCGAUCGUCAAAUUUGGGUAUAGGGGCGAAAGACUAAUCGAACCAUCUAGUAGCUGGUCC
rnacentral:rRNA from 1 species